rnacentral:rRNA from 1 species
UGGGGAAUAUUGCACAAUGGGCGCAAGCCUGAUGCAGCCAUGCCGCGUGUGUGAAGAAGGCCUCGGGUUGUAAGCACUUUCAGCGAGGAGGAAGGUGGUGAGCUUAAUACGCUCAUCAAUUGACGUUACUCGCAGAAGAAGCACCGGCUAACUCCGUGCCAGCAGCCGCGGUAAUACGGAGGGUGCAGGCGUUAAUCGGAAUUACUGGGCGUAAAGCGCACGCAGGCGGUUUGUUAAGUCAGAUGUGAAAUCCCCCGGGCUCAACCUGGGAACUGCAUUGAAACUGGCAAGCUAGAGUCUCGUAGAGGGGGGUAGAAUUCCAGGUGUAGCGGUGAAAUGCGUAGAGAUCUGAGGAAUACCGGUGGCGAAGGCGGCCCCCUGGACGAAGACUGACGCUCAGGUGCGAAAGCGUGGGGAGCAAACAGG